GACGAACGCUGGCGGCGUGCUUAACACAUGCAAGUCGAACGGAAAGGCCCUGCUUUUGUGGGGUGCUCGAGUGGCGAACGGGUGAGUAACACGUGAGUAACCUGCCCUUGACUUUGGGAUAACUUCAGGAAACUGGGGCUAAUACCGGAUAGGAGCUCCUGCUGCAUGGUGGGGGUUGGACAGUUUCGGCGGUUGGGGAUGGACUCGCGGCUUAUCAGCUUGUUGGUGGGGUAGUGGCUUACCAAGGCCUUGACGGGUAGCCGGCCUGAGAGGGUGACCGGCCACAUUGGGACUGAGAUACGGCCCAGACUCCUACGGGAGGCAGCAGGGGGAAAUAUGGCACAAUGGGCGGAAGCCUGAUGCAGCAACGCCGCGGGCGGGAUGACGGCCUUCGGGUUGUAAACCGCUUUCGCCUGUGACGAAGCGUGAGUGACGGUAAUGGGUAAAGAAGCACCGGCUAACUACGUG
rnacentral:rRNA from 1 species